UACGUAGGGUGCGAGCGUUGUCCGGAAUUAUUGGGCGUAAAGGGCUCGUAGGCGGUUUGUCGCGUCGGGAGUGAAAACUCAGGGCUUAACCCUGAGCCUGCUUCCGAUACGGGCAGACUAGAGGUAUGCAGGGGAGAACGGAAUUCCUGGUGUAGCGGUGAAAUGCGCAGAUAUCAGGAGGAACACCGGUGGCGAAGGCGGCUCUCUGGUACGUGACUGACGCUGAGACGCGAAAGCGUGGGGAGCGAACAGG
rnacentral:rRNA from 1 species